rfam:Gossypium hirsutum cultivar TM-1 chromosome 15, whole genome shotgun sequence
AGUGGUCAGGUGAUGAUUUAAAAAUGCAUAGUUCAGCUGAUAAUCUCCAUGAGUAUUAAAACUGUUUUAGUCUUUCGCUCCUAUCUGAUGACUGCU